AUGGCAGCGAGGGAGCAAUGAGCGAGGAGGUGCCGGCAGGCUCGGCCUUCACCUUCCCGCUGGCUGUGACCUUGGGCGGUCCCUGAAGCGGAGAGGGGUUUCUUCGCAGGGGCCCCAGUCACUGAAUCUGAGAGGGCAGAGGGAAACGCCCUCCCUUCCUCACAGAGCUGUUGUGUACAGAGCCACUCGGAUCCUGGCACAGGGCAAGGGAAAACCAGGUGCUUGGAAGAACUGAGGAAUCGGUGAUGAGAUGCUGUCACCAAGGUACCAAGUCAGAGUGCUGAGGCCUGACCAUGCUCCUGAAGAACCAGCACAGGGGAGCAAGCUGAGAAGAUCAGGAAUUUCAGGAGAACCACAAGUCCCAGAAGGUACUGCUAACUCUCCUGGUGAGAGUCCCAGCAAGUGGUGGGCGAUAUUUCCCUCUGACAAUGAACGGAACUCCCAGGUCUCUUCUCGCAAGGAGCAGCCUUCAACACUGCCCAUUUUAAUGAAAGUCACUGAAAAGAUCAAACACAGCAUUCCCGUAGCUACUCUGUACAUGGUCGAGUGGCUUAUUUGUUUUUGUUGUUGUUUUAAUCCUCACCUGAGAAUAUGUUUUAUUGGUUUUUAGAGAGAGAGGAAGGGGGAGAGAGGGAGAGAGAGAAACAUCGAUGUGAGAGAGAACAUCGAUCAGUUACCGCCCAUACAUGCUCCAAUUGGGCUCAAACCUGCACCCUAAGUACAUGCCCUGUCCAGAAUUGAACCUGCAACAUUUUGGUGUACAGGAUGAUGCUCCAACCAACUGAGCCACCCGGCUGGAGCAUGAUUUGGUUUUAUUUAUUUAUUUGCAGUGCGAGGACACCUCUUUAGCUACUCAACAUAAGGUGUUACAGCAAAUACCGGCCCCAUUGCAUGAUAACAGCUGUUGCUCUCAAACAAGUUAAUAUUUUGACUUCCAUAAAAUGUUUUGCUCCCCUUAACAACACUGAACCAACACUUUGUUGAUGUGAAUAAUAGACUUGGCUACUCCAAGACUGGAAGCAAUGAAUUUGAGUGCUAGGAAGAACACUAUUAAAAUCUAUCAUAUUUUUAAAAUAACUAUAUUUAAAAGUCACUUUAAUUUUAGUUCCAUACCCCCAAACUAGUUUGUAAAGAGUAAUAAAUAGUAAAAGCAAAACUGAUAUUGACUCAUCAUACCAAAACUAAAUAGUAAAAUAAAAGGACUUACCAAUUCUCCUCUAAUUAACAAGUAGAUUUUGUUUGAAAGUAUAUAUUGCUUGUUAGGUACAUGAAACAAUUUCCCCUAUAGUGUAAUCAAGAAGGUGAUUGGAAAUGCAGACAGCUCAUUGCAAAGCUCGAUCUUUGCAUUGAGAAACCUAGACAAUCUCAGAUUCAUCAGCUUUCAACUGGUGGCAAUAAACUCUAGCUCACAGUGCUGUCACCAAGAUCCAAGGGGGCAAUAUGUGUACAGCAGGUGGGCCUGCACAGUGACUGCUCACAAUAGGAGCUGGCAUAUGCGCCCAUCAAUCCACUCAAUUUGUAAUAAAAAUGAAAUAAGCCA